GCGUUGUUCGGAUUUACUGGGCGUAAAGGGCGCGUAGGCGGCGUGUCAAGUCAGUUGUGAAAUCUCCGAGCUUAACUCGGAACGGGCAAUUGAUACUGAUGUGCUAGAGUGCAGAAGGGGCAAUCGGAAUUCUUGGUGUAGCGGUGAAAUGCAUAGAUAUGUCCCAGAACACCGAUUGCGAAGGCAGCUUACUAUGGUGUCAUUGACGCUGAGGCACGAAAGCGUG
rnacentral:rRNA from 1 species